CGGGAACUCAAAGGAGACUGCCAGUGAUAAACUGGAGGAAGGUGGGGAUGACGUCAAGUCAUCAUGGCCCUUACGAGUAGGGCUACACACGUGCUACAAUGGCGCAUACAAAGAGAAGCGACCUCGCGAGAGCAAGCGGACCUCAUAAAGUGCGUCGUAGUCCGGAUUGGAGUCUGCAACUCGACUCCAUGAAGUCGGAAUCGCUAGUAAUCGUAGAUCAGAAUGCUACGGUGAAUACGUUCCCGGGCCUUGUACACACCGCCCGUCACACCAUGGGAGUGGGUUGCAAAAGAAGUAGGUAGCUUAACCUUCGGGAGGGCGCUUACCACUUUGUGAUUCAUGACUGGGGUGAAGUCGUAACAAGGUAACCGUAGGGGAACCUGCGGUUGGAUCACCUCCUUACCUUAAAGAA
rnacentral:rRNA from 1 species